GUCACCGGGGCGCCGGCCACAACGAGGGCGCGGCGGCCUUGCCCCCUGCCGCGACCCCCGCCUCCUGCCCGACCGGCGCGGAGCCUCCCAAAUCCGGCCGAUCCCGGCUGCAGCCCGAGCAUACCUGUCUCCAGCUCAGCUCCACCCGAAUGAGGCGCCGACACCCCACUCCGGGGCACCAAACUCUCGGCCCCGCCCCGGCGUGUGGCGUCAUCACGCCGCCCCGCCCUGGGAGGAGAGGGGCCGCCCCUAACUCGUGAGCGGGGUCUUGACGUCACAGAGUUGCGGCCGCGUUGCUCCUGGCGCGUUCUUGGGGGAGCGGUGCAGGCGCCGAGGCUGCGGCUGGGAGUCCUCCGGCCGGUCCCUACCGGGUUGCGUGACGGGUCUGAAAAGGGGGUCUGCACGUUGCUAAGUAGUGUUUCUUGCAGUGGGCUCUCAGGAGUCCUCUGAUGGAGAGCUGACCUAGUCUGUGCUGCCAGACAGAAAGGAACCUUGAUCAGCAAUGCGCGCUCGAGGCGCAGCAGGAUCAUUGGAAAAUCUAAGGACUUCCCUGAUGGUGCAGUGGUUAAGAAUCCGCCUGCCAAUGCAGGGGACACGGGUUUGAGCCCUGGUCCAGGAAGAUCCCACAUGCCGCGGAGCAGCUAAGCCCAUGCGCCACAACUACUGAGCCUGUGCUCUAGAGCCCACGAGCCACAACUACUGAAGCCCGUGUGCCUAGAGCCUGUGCUCCGCAACAAGAAGCUACCGCAAUGAGAAGCCUGUGCACCACAACAAAGAGUAGCCCCCACUCGUCGCAACUAAAGAAAGCCUGCGUGCAGCAAUGAAGACACAACGCAGCCCAAAAUAAACAAACAAAUAAAUAUAUUUUUUUAAAAAUC